UAUCUUAGCACCUACGGAUGAGACCAGAGCACCUGUUCCAAGGAACUCCAUGGCAACAUCGUCGUGAGGCUUUCCAAGCCUGCAAAAAAGGAGCAAAGACUGAGGGUGAG